rnacentral:rRNA from 1 species
UGGGGAAUAUUGCACAAUGGGCGAAAGCCUGAUGCAGCAACGCCGCGUGAGUGAUGAAGGCCUUCGGGUUGUAAAGCUCUGUCUUUUGGGACGAUAAUGACGGUACCAAAGGAGGAAGCCACGGCUAACUACGUGCCAGCAGCCGCGGUAAUACGUAGGUGGCAAGCGUUGUCCGGAUUUACUGGGCGUAAAGGAUGCGUAGGCGGAUUUUUAAGUGAGAUGUGAAAACCCUAAGCUUAACUUGGGGACUGCAUUUCAUACUGGAAAUCUAGAGUGCGGGAGAGGAGAAUGGAAUUCCUAGUGUAGCGGUGAAAUGCGUAGAGAUUAGGAAGAACACCAGUGGCGAAGGCGAUUCUCUGGACCGUAACUGACGCUGAGGCAUGAAAGCGUGGGUAGCAAACAGGGUUAGAUACCCUGGUAGUCCACGCCGUAAACGAUGAGUACUAGGUGUAGGAGGUAUCGACCCUUCUGUGCCGCAGUUAACACAAUAAGUACUCCGCCUGGGAAGUACGAUCGCAAGAUUAAAACUCAAAUGAAUUGACGGGGUCAUAGCUG